GAGUAGCAGUGACAUUCCAAGACCUGGAGAGAGGCCGCCCGAGUGGAAUUUUUCUUGGUCACUCACACGUGGUGCAGUCUGAGGCACAUUAUUUAACCCACAUGAACUCCAGCUGGCAACCUAGAAUGCGGAUGAUGCUACUGUCUACCUCGUGGGUUAUUAUUACCUUAUGGAGGACAAAAGAAGCCAACCCAUGUACAAUGCACCACUCUCUACCCAAGGCUGAGAAGGGUUCACCGUAGUGGCUUCUGUUUUUGAUGCUGUGUCAGUAAGUCAUCAGUUUAAUGAAAUGAGCAACACCUGAGCCCUCUACCUGGGACAUGUGGAUGAGAUUCCUGAGAAGGAAGCUGGGCGGUUGUUUCUUGGUUUGGGGCAGAGGAGGAAGUGUUAUAUACGGUGUUGAGAGGCUGGCCGUGGACCUCACCUUUCCUCUGUAUGACUGUCCUUCAUGUGAUAGGACCACACUUGUCACCAUCAUACCUGCAUCCCAGGGUCAGUCUCCACCUCAUCCAGAGGCGGUUAAUAAAUGCUCCUUUAAUUGA